GGUGGGGUUCCCGAGCGGCCAAAGGGAGCAGACUGUAAAACUGCCGUCAUCGACUUCGAAGGUUCGAAUCCUUCCCCCACCACCA
rnacentral:tRNA from 1 species